rnacentral:tRNA from 1 species
CAGCCUUCCAAGCUGAUAGCGUGGGUUCGAUUCCCAUCACCCGCU